rnacentral:rRNA from 1 species
UACGUAGGGGGCUAGCGUUGUCCGGAUUAUUGGUGCGUAAAGAGCGUGUAGGCGGCCAGGUAGGUCUGCUGUGAAAACUCGAGGCUCAACCUCGAGACGUCGGCGGAAACCAUCUGGCUAGAGUCCGGAAGAGGAGAGUGGAAUUCCUGGUGUAGCGGUGAAAUGCGCAGAUAUCAGGAAGAACACCCGUGGCGAAGGCGGCUCUCUGGGACGGUACUGACGCUGAGACGCGAAAGCGUGGGUAGCAAACAGG